GGGAAGGUAGCUCAGUGGUAGAGUGCUUGCCUUGCAUGCAUGAGGCCCUGGGUUCAGUUCCUUAGCAUCACA
rfam:Dipodomys ordii contig_25890, whole genome shotgun sequence.